UACGGGGGGGGCAAGCGUUGUUCGGAAUUACUGGGCGUAAAGGGCGCGUAGGCGGUCUGUUAAGUCGGAUGUGAAAACUCUGGGCUCAACCCAGAGCCUGCAUCCGAAACUGGCAGGCUAGAGUUCUGGAGGGGGUAGCGGAAUUCCUGGUGUAGCGGUGAAAUGCGUAGAUAUCGGGAGGAACAUCUGUGGCGAAGGCGACACCCUGGACCAGCACUGACACUGAGGCACGAAAGCGUGGGGAGCAAACAGG
rnacentral:rRNA from 1 species